CUCGAAAAUCGUGUCCUACCAUAAUUGUUAAGUUGACUGUGGUAAAUAAAUUUAGAACAUUAAAAUAAAAACAAAAAUACACUCAAAACACCUUUACACUUGGCAGCAUCACAAGUUCACAAUCCUCAUGUAUUACAUUAUAUGCAGGAUGGACUCUCCUAUAUAAGGAUAUUAACAAUUAUACAAACUUAAUCAAGUUCAUUCUUACAUCCAGGGGCGGAGCUAGGGGUGGGGCAGGGGGGUCACUGGGCCCCCCUGGGAUUUUCAAAAAUACUAGGAUAUUUUUAUAAUUUUAUAUUAAAAAUAAAAAAUAUGUAAUUUUAUCUACAUCAUUAUCUUGUUGAGCUAUUUUAUACUCUAAUUGAUAUGUAAGUUUUAGAGUUAAGAUGCUUAGAAUAAGUAAUCACAUAAUUAAUUUAUACAUAUCAUGCUUGGAUUUGAUUUUAGAGAUUUAUUUUUUGAAUUUGAUAUUGAAAGUUACUUUGCCUUACAAAGUUUCAUGGAAUUUUGGAAAAUAAAAUCACAAACUAUUUUGAAUUUGCAAUUUUAAUGUCUUUUGAGUGUGGCGAAUUAAAUCACUAUUUUUUCAAGUUUUGCAAUUUCGUCCCCCAAUUUUUUUCGAUCGCUAGAGUGUUGAAUUGGAGCUUACGUGUAUUAGUAAAGACGACGACGUUUUUGUGAGGCCUAAACGACAUCGUUUCGUAACAUUUCAACUAAAAAUUUCUCCAAAUUAGAAAGAGACUGUAUCAUGUAUUUGCACUAUAUGUAAUAUUCAAUAUUUAGUAAUUUUAUUGCAAAAUAUAUCGUAACAUGAAUAUGAUCAGCUUGAAAAUCUGUUAAAAUGUGUUUUUUGUAAUUUAAAUAAUAUUAUAAUUGUGUUAUUGAUUAUCAUUUAUUUUUAAUUUAAGUAAUAUUUUUAUUUAAUUAUUAAUUUUCUUUAAAAAAAAAAUGAAACAAACAGAUAAAAUCAAGCUCGUUCCAUGCUUACAUCAAUGUACAUGUCAUCCAUUUUAGAUAAAUUCGAUGAAGCAAAUCGAAUUGUCAACCAGAUCUGUAGAGUUGCUUAAGUCAAACAGCAAUGCAUAAUAGAAAAUAGAAAAUAAGUUUAUUAUUGAGGAUUUGCGUGAAUCACGUUGAAUGCAAUGGCGGAAUGCUCUGUUCGUUCCUGAAGAAUUAACAGGAUAACAAAUGCCAGCGGUGAAAGAGUUGAGUUGCGUUUUGCUCCAAAGUCCUGCCGAUUCUGAAAACGGUAACUCUUUUUGGAACAUCCACUAGUUGUACCUGUCGGAACAUCACAUAAUUAUCGAAUUAAUUAAGGAGAUCAUAAAUACAAGUAACUGAAAUUGAAGAAAAACAAUAAAAUGGGAAAAAGUUGGAAACGAGCAUUUGAUAUGUUGUAGCAUUCAAGUAAUUAUACCUUCCAAGAAACGA
rnacentral:lncRNA from 1 species